rnacentral:rRNA from 1 species
GAUCAUGGCUCAGGACGAACGCUGGCGGCGUGCCUAACACAUGCAAGUCGAACGGAAGUUAGAGCUUCGGUUUUAACUUUAGUGGCGAACGGGUGAGUAACGCGUGAGGAACCUGCCUUUCAGUGGGGGACAACAGUUGGAAACGACUGCUAAUACCGCAUGACACUUUUGGGGGACAUCUCCUGAAAGUCAAAGCUUUAUGUGCUGAAAGAUGGCCUCGCGUCUGAUUAGCUAGUUGGUGAGGUAACGG